GUAAUUUAGUUUUUCCGAAUUAUGUUUAAAAAAACUAAAAAAGGUAAAAGUGCAAUAAGUAGUCCAUAAGAAAUAGAUUCAACACAGAUCCAAGAUUGCUGCUUUUGGAAAAGAUGGCACAACUAGCCAUUGUUCCCGCAGUCCAUGUUGUCUGCCUGACACUAAGUAGUCCAUAAGAAACUGCUCUUACACACCGUACCUACUAGCCAUAGUUGCCGCAGCCCCUGUUUCCUCACACUAAGUAUUCCAUAAGAAACUGCCGUUACACACCGUGCCUAUGCCUAAAUUUCUGCCUUUGGAAAGAUGUGCUGCUGCUAUCCUUGCUGUACUUGCUGCAGUCCCUGCUGUUCGCCAUGCUGCUAUGUACCCUGCUGUUGCCCCUGCUGUCGACCAUGCUGCACUCCUUGGAGUCCCUGUUGCUGUUAUCCCUGCGGUAUUGGCUGUAGCGGUUGCAAUGGAUGCUGAAAUUGGAAAAUAGGCACAUACACAUCAUUCAUAGCCCAAAAAAAUUCAUUUUAAAAUUGUACUUACACGAGGAUAAAAUAUAUGCUGCAUACUCUGUUGCCAUCGAGUAAA